rnacentral:rRNA from 1 species
GAUGAACGCUGGCGGCGUGCCUAAUACAUGCAAGUCGAGCGAACAGACGAGGAGCUUGCUCCUCUGACGUUAGCGGCGGACGGGUGAGUAACACGUGGAUAACCUACCUAUAAGACUGGGAUAACUUCGGGAAACCGGAGCUAAUACCGGAUAAUAUAUUGAACCGCAUGGUUCAAUAGUGAAAGACGGUUUUGCUUUCACUUAUAGAUGGAUCCGCGCCGCAUUAGCUAGUUGGUAAGGUAACGGCUUACCAAGGCAACGAUGCGUAGCCGACCUGAGAGUGUGAUCGGCCACACUGGAACUGAGACACGGUCCAGACUCCUACGGGAGGCAGCAGUAGGGAAUCUUCCGCAAUGGGCGAAAGCCUGACGGAGCAACGCCGCGUGAGUGAUGAAGGUCUUCGGAUCGUAAAACUCUGUUAUUAGGGAAGAACAAAUGUGUAAGUAACUAUGCACGUCUUGACGGUACCUAAUCAGAAAGCCACGGCUAACUACGUG